AGAAGCUGCUCAGGUCAAGAGGUCAGACUGUACUACUGCAGGCGGUGACUGUCUGCCCGUGAUGUCAGCCAUCCACUGCCCUAAAACUCUGAGUGCCACUUGUGACAGCAGCAGUCUGUACUGCUGUCAGCUCCAUCAAGAGAGCCUGACGGAGGAAGUUGCACCAGGCCCCGCCCGGCCCCUGCCCACCUGUCAAAGUCAAGAUGGCGGCCAGUGCCUGUCUGUGUACUCAAGGAUUUUCUGUCACGAGAAGUUGGAGGCGACUUGCGAGGGGCCAAAUAUGUACUGCUGUAGAAUGGGAUGAGACUGGUCAGACAUGUGGUACACUAGGACGAAAACCUGAAUAAAUCCCCAUAACUAUAUCAAAU